GACGAAGCCCUGGGUCGCAAACGGGAUUAGAUACCCCGGUAGUCCAGGGUGUAAACGCUGCAGACUUGGUGUUGGGGGCCCUACGGGGGCGUUCAGUGCCGGAGAGAAGUUGUUAAGUCUGCUACUUGGGGAGUACGUCCGCAAGGAUGAAACUUAAAGGAAUUGGCGGGGGAGCACCGCAACGGGAGGAGCGUGCGGUUUAAUUGGAUUCAACACCGGAAAACUCACCAGCGGCGACUGUUACAUGAAAGUCAGGCCGAUGACCUUACUAGAUUUUCAGAGAGGUGGUGCAUGGCCGUCGUCAGUUCGUACCGUAAGGCGUUCUCUUAAGUGAGAUAACGAACGAGACCCUC
rnacentral:rRNA from 1 species